CCUACGGGUGGCUGCAGUGGGGGAUAUUGCACAAUGGGGGUAACCCUGAUGCAGCGACGCCGCGUGGGUGAAGAAGCGCCUCGGCGCGUAAAGCCCUGUCAGCAGGGAAGAAAAUGACGGUACCUGAAGAAGAAGCCCCGGCUAACUACGUGCCAGCAGCCGCGGUAAUACGGAGGGGGCAAGCGUUAUCCGGAUUUACUGGGCGUAAAGGGGGCGCAGACGGCAAUGCAAGCCAGGAGUGAAAGCCCGUGGCCCAACCCCGGGACUGCUCUUGGAACUGCAUGGCUGGAGUACAGGAGGGGCAGGCGGAAUUCCUAGUGUAGCGGUGAAAUGCGUAGAUAUUAGGAGGAACACCGGUGGCGAAGGCGGCCUGCUGGACUAUAACUGACGUUGAGGCCCGAAGGCGUGGGGAGCAAACAGGAUUAGAUACCCCAGUAGUC
rnacentral:rRNA from 1 species